rnacentral:rRNA from 1 species
GCACCGGCUAACUCCGUGCCAGCAGCCGCGGUAAUACGGAGGGUGCGAGCGUUAAUCGGAAUUACUGGGCGUAAAGCGCAUGCAGGUGGUUUGUUAAGUCAGAUGUGAAAGCCCGGGGCUCAACCUCGGAACUGCAUUUGAAACUGGCAGACUAGAGUACUGUAGAGGGGGGUAGAAUUUCAGGUGUAGCGGUGAAAUGCGUAGAGAUCUGAAGGAAUACCGGUGGCGAAGGCGGCCCCCUGGACAGAUACUGACACUCAGAUGCGAAAGCGUGGGGAGCAAACAGGAUUAGAUACCCUGGUAGUCCACGCUGUAAACGAUGUCUACUUGGAGGUUGUGGCCUUGAGCCGUGGCUUUCGGAGCUAACGCGUUAAGUAGACCGCCUGGGGAGUACGGUCGCAAGAUUAAAACUCAAAUGAAUUGACGGGGGCCCGCACAAGCGGUGGAGCAUGUGGUUUAAUUCGAUGCAACGCGAAGAACCUUACCUACUCUUGACAUCCAGAGAAUCUAGCGGAGACGCUGGAGUGCCUUCGGGAACUCUGAGACAGGUGCUGCAUGGCUGUCGUCAGCUCGUGUUGUGAAAUGUUGGGUUAAGUCCCGCAACGAGCGCAACCCUUAUCCUUGUUUGCCAGCGAGUAAUGUCGGGAACUCCAGGGAGACUGCCGGUGAUAAACCGGAGGAAGGUGGGGACGACGUCAAGUCAUCAUGGCCCUUACGAGUAGGGCUACACACGUGCUACAAUGGCGCAUACAGAGGGCGGCCAACUUGCGAAAGUGAGCGAAUCCCAAAAAGUGCGUCGUAGUCCGGAUUGGAGUCUGCAACUCGACUCCAUGAAGUCGGAAUCGCUAGUAAUCGUGGAUCAGAAUGCCACGGUGAAUACGUUCCCGGGCCUUGUACACACCGCCCGUCACACCAUGGGAGUGGGCUGCAAAAGAAGUGGGUAGUUUAACCUUCGGGAGGACGCUCACCACUUUGUGGUUCAUGACUGGGGUGAAGUCGUAACAAGGUAGCGCUAGGGGAACCUGGCGCU